GGGCUCACUUUGCCAGCACAUAUAUUAAAAUUGGGGGAAAAAAAACAUAGAGAAGAUUAACAUGGCCCCUGUGCAAAGAUGACAUGCAAAUUUUGAAGUGUUCCAUACAUUC
ensembl:snRNA U6 U6 spliceosomal RNA